UGAGUAACCUGCCCUUCACUCUGGGAUAACUCCGGGAAACCGGGGCUAAUACUGGAUAUGACUCGAACAGGCAUCUGUUUCGGGUGGAAAGAUUUAUUGGUGGAGGAUGGACUCGCGGCCUAUCAGCUUGUUGGUGUGGUAAUGGCUCACCAAGGCGACGACGGGUAGCCGGCCUGAGAGGGUGAUCGGCCACAUUGGAACUAAGACACGGUCCAGACCCCUACGGGAGGCA
rnacentral:rRNA from 1 species